GACAGAGGUCCCGAGCGUUGUUCGGAUUCAUUGGGCGUAAAGGGUGUGUAGGCGGCUAGGCAAGUCAGGUGUGAAAUCUCAGAGCUUAACUCUGAAACUGCGCUUGAUACUGCUUAGCUAGAGGAUCGGAGGGGGUAACGGAAUUCAUGGUGUAGCAGUGAAAUGCGUAGAUAUCAUGAGGAACACCGGUGGCGAAGGCGGUUCCCUGGAAGAUUCCUGACGCUGAAACACGAAAGCCAGGGGAGCAAACGGG
rnacentral:rRNA from 1 species